rnacentral:rRNA from 1 species
UGUUUCGGCUAGGGGGCCAUCCCGGCUUACCAACCCGAUGCAAACUGCGAAUACCGGAGAAUGUUAUCACGGGAGACACACGGCGGGUGCUAACGUCCGUCGUGAAGAGGGAAACAACCCAGACCGCCAGCUAAGGUCCCAAAGUCAUGGUUAAGUGGGAAACGAUGUGGGAAGGCCCAGACAGCCAGGAUGUUGGCUUAGAAGCAGCCAUCAUUUAAAGAAAGCGUAAUAGCUCACUGGUCGAGUCGGCCUGCGCGGAAGAUGUAACGGGGCUAAACCAUGCACCGAAGCUGCGGCAGCGACACUGUGUGUUGUUGGGUAGGGGAGCGUUCUGUAAGCCUGUGAAGGUGGCCUGUGAGGGUUGCUGGAGGUAUCAGAAGUGCGAAUGCUGACAUAAGUAACGAUAAAGCGGGUGAAAAGCCCGCUCGCCGGAAGACCAAGGGUUCCUGUCCAACGUUAAUCGGGGCAGGGUGAGUCGACCCCUAAGGCGAGGCCGAAAGGCGUAGUCGAUGGGAAAC